CAGCUUUGGUAGUUCAGUGGUAGAAUACUACUCUUCCAGUCUCAAUUCUUUGAGUUGAUAAGUAGUGGCCGGGGUUCGAUUCCCCGUCAAUGCAUC
rnacentral:tRNA from 1 species